GUCUCCAGUGUGCAUUCCAUGCACUCCACGCCGGAUAUAUCCGGCGUGAGGUUACAAAAUUGUUGGCGUAAUGGCGUGAGAUCACUCGAAAACAAGUGAUUAGUUUGUGUCUGAUUUCAUGUCCACAUGUAAAUUGACAGUAUAACUACACGAAUAUGAUGUUGACAUGCAGUACAUAUUAAAAACACACCAUAUUGGCUAUUUUCAAAACAUGGAUUUAAGUCCCCAAAACUGAAAAUUGGCGUAAAGGAUCGUACAUGUUGGCGUAUCUCCGGCGUAGAGUUUACAUGGAAUGCACCCUGG